rnacentral:rRNA from 1 species
GAAUCCGCCAAGGAGUGUGUAACAACUCACCUGCCGAAUGAAUUAGCCCUGAAAAUGGAUGGCGCUGAAGCGGGUAGCCGACACCACGCCGUCUGGACAAAGUGGUCUUUCAGAUGAGUAGGAGGGCGUGGCGGUUGUAUCGAAGCGUGGAUGCGAAUCUGCGUGGAACAGCCGCUAGUGCAGAUCUUGGUGGUAGUAGCAAAUAUUCAAGCGAGAUCCUUGAAGGGCGAAGCGGGGAAGGGUUCCACGCGAACAUUGAUUGGGCGUGGGUGAGUCGUUCCUAAGCCGCGUGGCAAUAGCUAAUUACCGGCGAAAGGGAAGCAGGUUGACAUUCCUGCACACGGAUGUGGAGACGGCGACGAUACAUGAGGCGAUCACGCUGGCGGUGGCGCUGGGCAGAGUUGUCUUUUCUGUUUGACCAUUGAAUACUUGCUGUGUGGAAUCCGCUUGUCGGGAGAAACACGCAGGUACGGGCAGAGCGCCGGGGCUUUUCCGGCGUCCAGCUCGCCACCGACGGCCCUUGAAAAAUUGCCUGCUGAACAACACUUGUGUUGUGAGAUCCACGCCGUGGCGUACCGAUAACCGCAUCAGGUCCCCAAGGUGAACAGCCUCUGCUCAGUAUGAACAAUGCAGGUAAGGGAAGUCGGCA